ACUAGCUGAGUCUAUGAAUCAAAUGUUUGUCUGGGAUUUAUGUUAUAAAACAAAUAAACGAGAGGGAGAGAACAAGCUACCUAUCAUAAAGAUAAAGGGGAUAAGCAUAAAGUUCUGGGCCAACCUCCAAACAACUAAAGAUAAAGAAAUUUUUAAAAAAGAGAAAUUACAAAAGAAGGGGACUUUCAGGAUUAAAAAAACAAGAAGAUAACGUGCAGGAGGCCCUCC
rnacentral:lncRNA from 1 species